rnacentral:rRNA from 1 species
CUGGAAUCGCUAGUAAUCGCGGAUCAGCACGCCGCGGUGAAUACGUUCCCGGGCCUUGUACACACCGCCCGUCACACCAUGGAAGUCUGCAAUGCCCGAAGCCGGUGGCCUAACCACUUAUGUGGAAGGAGCCGUCUAAGGCAGGGCAGAUGACUGGGGUGAAGUCGUAACAAGGUAAC